rnacentral:rRNA from 1 species
UACGUAGGGUGCAAGCGUUACUCGGAAUUACUGGGCGUAAAGCGUGCGCAGGCGGUUCUGUAAGGCAGGCGUGAAAUCCCCGGGCUUAACCUGGGAACUGCAUUUGUGACUGCAUAGCUAGAGUACGGUAGAGGGGGAUGGAAUUCCGCGUGUAGCAGUGAAAUGCGUAGAUAUGCGGAGGAACACCGAUGGCGAAGGCAAUCCCCUGGACCGGUACUGACGCUCAUGCACGAAAGCGUGGGGAGCAAACAGG